UGGUUAUGUUCUUCAAAACGGGUC
rnacentral:piRNA from 1 species